UACAGAGGGUGCAAGCGUUAAUCGGAAUUACUGGGCGUAAAGCGUGCGCAGGCGGCUUUGCAAGACAGAUGUGAAAUCCCGGGCUCAACCUGGGAACUGCAUUUGUGACUGCAAGGCUAGAGUACGGCAGAGGGGGAUGGAAUUCCGCGUGUAGCAGUGAAAUGCGUAGAUAUGCGGAGGAACACCAAUGGCGAAGGCAAUCCCCUGGGCCUGUACUGACGCUCAUGCACGAAAGCGUGGGGAGCAAACAGG
rnacentral:rRNA from 1 species